rnacentral:tRNA from 1 species
GAGGAUAAAGUACAGUGGUUAGAGUGCAUGCUUACCAUGCAUGAGGUCCUAGGUUCAAUCCCCAGUACCUCU